ACGCUCGACACCUACUGGAGGCAGCAGUAGGGAAUAUUGCGCAAUGGGGGAAACCCUGACGCAGCAACGCCGCGUGGAGGAUGACACUUUUCGGAGCGUAAACUCCUUUUCUUAGGGAAGAAUUCUGACGGUACCUAAGGAAUAAGCACCGGCUAACUCCGUGCCGGCAGCCGCGGUAAUCUGAGCGGGCUGGCAAGGC
rnacentral:rRNA from 1 species